CGUGAGGGAAAGUUGAAAAGAACUUUGAAGAGAGAGUUCAAGAGUACGUGAAACCGUUCAGGGGUAAACCUGAGAAACCCAAAAGAUCGAAUGGGGAGAUUCAUCGCAAACGGGGCCGAUUCCUGUGUGGUAUGCGAUGGUCGGUGCCUCGGUACCGGUCACGCUAUCGCUUAGGUUAUAUUGGCCACGUCAGCGUGCACUUCUCCCCUAGUAGGACGUCGCGACCCGUUGGGUGCUGGCCUACGGCCCGAUUGGUCGACUGUCGCUUGGCGUUAACGCGCUUCUCGCGGCAGACCAUUGGUUGCCCGGCCGGCUGCCCGGCGGUAUUGAUUCAUUUAUGAACGGUAUUGGGCCGCAUUAUGUGCGUCCUGGCUCGUCGGCAGGCUCGCCUCGCUCGGAUUUACGGACCUAGCGCCGUUGCCGGGUGCUUGGCGUGGCCGUUAGUCGACGAUGUCCUCGGACUGGCUCUUACAUUCGAACGGAUGUACCGGUCGGCGACGCUACUGCUUUGGGUACUUUCAGGACCCGUCUUGAA
rnacentral:rRNA from 1 species